CUUGGAUUGAAACACGCCUACUUUCCUUGGGAGGAGCAAUUGGGAUUUUUGCCAAUGGGCCAACCCUAAUCAAGCAUGCGGUGGAGUGAUGAAGGCCUUAGGUCGAAAAGCUCUUUCCCCAGAGAUGUAAUGCCAGUAUCUGGUAAAGAACCCCUGCUUACUACAUACCAGAAUCUCGGUAAUCCGAGGGGGUUAGCGUUGUCAGAAUUCUGGGCGUAAAGCGAAUGUAGCGGAUCAGAAAGUAUGAGGUGAAUCCCGGGGAUCACCUCCGGAACUGCUUUUUAAACUCCUGGUCUUGAGUUCGAGAGAUGUGACUGGAAUUCCGAGUGUAGAGGUGAAAUUCGUAGAUAUUCGGAGGAACACCAGUGGCGAAGGCGGCUCCCUGGCUUGAUACUGACGCUGAGGUGCGAAAGUGUGGGGAGCAAACAUGAUUAGAUACCCUGGUAGUCCACUCCGUAAACGAUGAAUUCCAGACGUCAGCAAGCAUGCUUGUUGGUGUCACAACUAACGGAUUAAGUAUUCCGCCUGGGGAGUACGGUCGCAAGAUUAAAACUCAAAGGAAUUGACGGGGGUUCGCACAAGCGGUUGAGCAUGUGGUUUAAUUCGAAGCAACGCGCAGAUUCUUAACAACCCUUGACAUCCUCGGACCGCCAGAGAGAUCUGGUUUUCUCGCAAGAGACCGAGUGACAGGUGCUGCAUGGCUGUCGUCAGCUCCUAUCGUGAGGUGUUCGGUUAAGUCCGGCAUCGAGCGCGAGCCACAUCCUUAGUUGGCAGCAGUUCAGCUGGGAACUUUAGGGAAACCUGCCUUGAUUAGCAGUAUGAACGUUUUGACGGUGUCAAGUGUCUCAUAGCCCCUUCGGGUUGGGCCAAACGCUUGUUACAAUGGUAUCAUCAAUGGGCUAAACCCUAAACGAUGUCUCAGUUCGGAUUGGGGUCUGCAAAUUGUCCCCAUGAAGUGGGAAAUGCUGGUAAUCGCGUAACAGCAAGUCGCGGUGAAUUAGUUACCGGGCCUUGUACACGCCGCCCGUCACCCCAUGGGAGUUGGAUCUAACGCGAAGGCCGUGCGCUAACUUUUGAGGCAGCGGGCCCGGUGGGUUUAGGGCUGGGGUGAAAUCGUAAAAAGGUAAUCAA
rnacentral:rRNA from 1 species